rnacentral:rRNA from 1 species
UGAAUACGAGAUGCUACGGCAUCGAAGCAGUCUAUGUCAUACUUCCAAGAAAAGCUUGCACUGUCAUAAACAAAUAAUGCCUGUACCAUAACCGACACAGGUGGGUAGGUAGAGUAUACUAAGGGGCGCGAGAUAACUCUCUCUAAGGAACUCGGCAAAAUGACUCCGUAACUUCGGGAGAAGGAGUGCCUUAUUUUAUAAGGUUGCAAUAACAAGAUCCAAGCAACUGUUUACCAAAAACACAGGUCUCCGCUAAGUCGUAAGACGAUGUAUGGGGGCUGACGCCUGCCCAGUGCCAGAAGGUUAAAGAAGUUGGUUAGCAUUAGCGAAGCUGAUAACUGAAGCCCUGGUGAACGGCGGCCGUAACUAUAACGGUCCUAAGGUAGCGAAAUUCCUUGUCGGGUAAGUUCCGACCCGCACGAAAGGCGUAAUGAUUUGGAUACUGUCUCGGAGAGGGGCUCGGUGAAAUAGACUUGUCUGUGAAGAUGCGGACUACCUGCACCAGGACAGAAAGACCCUAUGAAGCUUUACUGUAACUUGAGAUUGAAAUUGGACUUUAUUUGCGCAGUAUAGGUGGGAGACGUUGAAAAUAUUCUUGCGGGAAUAUUGGAGUCAUCAGUGAGAUACCACUCUUAUAAUGUUAGAUUUCUAACUUUGUAUCAUUAUCUGGUCAAAGAACAGUCUCAGGCGGGCAGUUUGACUGGGGCGGUCGCCUCCCAAACGGUAACGGAGGCGCACAAAGGUUUCCUCUGAACGUGUAGAAAUCGUAUCUAGAGUGUAAAGGCAUAAGGAAGCUUGACUGUGAGACCUACAAGUCGAGCAGGGACGAAAGUCGGUCUUAGUGAUCUGACGGUGCUGAGUGGAAAGGCCGUCACUCAACGGAUAAAAGUUACUCUAGGAUAACAGGCUGAUCUCCCCCAAGAGUUCACAUCGACGGGGAGGUUUGGCACCUCGAUGUCGGCUCAUCGCAUCCUGGGGCGGUAGUACGUCCCAAGGGUUGGGCUGUUCGCCCAUGAAAGCGGUACGCGAGCUGGGUUCAGAACGUCGUGAGGCAGUUCGGUCCAUAUCCGGUGUAGGCGUUAGAAUAUUGAGAGGAGCCUUCUUUAGUACGAGAGGACCGAGAAGGACAUACCUCUGGUGUACCAGUUAUCGUGCCAACGGUAAACGCUGGGUAGCUAUGUAUGGAGAGGAUAACCGCUGAAAGCAUCUAAGUGGGAAGCCCACCUCAAGAUAAG